rnacentral:rRNA from 1 species
GGAAAAGAAACCAACAGGGAUUGCCUCAGUAACGGCGAGUGAAGCGGCAAAAGCUCAAAUUUGAAAUCUGGCCCUUUCAGGGUCCGAGUUGUAAUUUGUAGAAGAUGCUUCGGGCGUGGUGCCGGUCUAAGUUCCUUGGAACAGGACGUCAUAGAGGGUGAGAAUCCCGUAUGUGACUGGCCACCUACGCCCAUGUGAAGCUCUUUCGACGAGUCGAGUUGUUUGGGAAUGCAGCUCAAAAUGGGUGGUAAAUUUCAUCUAAAGCUAAAUAUUGGCCAGAGACCGAUAGCGCACAAGUAGAGUGAUCGAAAGAUGAAAAGCACUUUGGAAAGAGAGUUAAACAGUACGUGAAAUUGUUGAAAGGGAAGCGCUUGCAAUCAGACUUGCGCCUGGGCGAUCAUCCGGGGUUCUCCCCGGUGCACUCGUUCAGGCUCAGGCCAGCAUCGGUUUCGGUGGUGGGAUAAAGGCCCCAGGAACGUAGCCCCUCUCGGGGGGUGUUAUAGCCUGGGGUGCAAUGCCGCCUACCGGGACCGAGGACCGCGCUUCGGCUAGGAUGCUGGCGUAAUGGUUGUA